CAGCCGCCGCGGUAACACGUAUGUCACGAGCGUUAUCCGGGUUUAUUGGGCGUAAAGCGCGUCUAGGUGGUUAUACAAGUCUAAUGUGAAAGCCCCAGGCUCAACCGGGGAGGGUCAUUGGAAACUGGGAAACUUGAGUGCAGAAGAGGAGAGUGGAAUUCCACGUGUAGCGGUGAAAUGCGUAGAGAUGUGGAGGAACACCAGUGGCGAAGGCGACUCUCUGGUCUGUAACUGACACUGAGGCGCGAAAGCGUGGGGAGCAAACAGGAUUAGAUACCCGCGUAGUCCCUGUCUCUUAUAC
rnacentral:rRNA from 1 species